UUGUGGAAUUUUGGUAAUUCUACUAUAAAUACCGAGGGAGUGGUUCUAACCCGCGCAAAACAGUUUUUUGUUAUGUUGUACAUUUGUAAGACGGAGAGUACUCUUAAUGUACCAAAAAAGCAAUAUCAUAUUACAGAUGUGCAAGACCUGUGGAUAUUUUUGUACAGGGUCAUUAAAAAAGUUGGCUAAUGGCACAUUUAUUAUUAUUAAAGCACAUAAUGGCCACCAAAAAAUAUUAAUGAAACAUUGGUCAGAGCAUUCAGGGAAGACCUUAGAAGAAGGGAUUCAUCAGAAAAUGUAACAUUGAUGCAUGUUUACGCUGAAGAAGCUAGAAGAAAUCCAGAAACCUCAAUCCAUCCAUCGUAAUAACAGAUUAUGAACCGGCCUUAAGAGAUACUCUCACGUUUAUAUUUCUAACUGCAAAAAUGACCAGUGUUGGUUUUCGCCACAACCAACUAUUGGCUCAGACAAGUUGGAUUUAACAUUAUUUCAGUGGAUUACCAAGACUAACUAACAAUAGUCUCGAAAGUUUUCAUAAUGCUUUGCGGAACAAAUUUAAUGUAACUCACCCUAACUUAUGGAUAUUUUUAGGUAAUCAGAUUUUCUUUUUUUAAACUUAUUCACUUAACGCUAACUGUUACCAACCAAAUUGCAUUAUAUUACAGAUCACCUAUCUCACCGAAGUAUGAGUUUCCACACUAUAUGGUUCAGCUAAAUAACAAUUUACGGCCAACAAGAAACCACCAAAUAAAUUAUAGAAAUUUAAAUUGUAUCCAACAUGCUUGCGAACAAUAUUCUCUUGGGCUAAUAGUACUUUCAUUAAAAAUAUAAUGGGAAACAUAGAUACCGGAGUCCAAGAGUAGAAGGAUGUGGUAGAAACGGAAGACUCAUUAUAUUUGAAGCUUUUUAUGCGGAAUUUGAAAAUGAGGAGGUAGAGCCAGAUCAAGAAAAUGAAAUUCUUGAAGUAUGCAUAAUUUGCUGUAAUGAAAUUUCCAUCACUAUGGUAGUGCCCUGCCAGCACCAUGUCUGCAGAGUAUGCAUUGAGAGGUGGAUGCGAGAGGGUUGAAGAGUUUGUCCACUAUGCUAAACUAACAUCAUUAUGCUACAAAACUUAUCUCAAGAAUAGUGAAUCAGCAGUACCUAAAGGCAGCCACAGAAUAUAGUUGCUGCUACUGCUAUGUACCUUUGAACUUCAGACGAGACGAGGAGUGCGCCAAAUAUAGAGGAAUUAUGGCCUUGGAUCGCGUAACACUACUUUGUCGGCCGGACGAUUAGACAGUUUUCCAUACCACAGAUACGCAGGUUACAAUAUACAUUAUAUAUAUUAGAAUCUAACAUGAUGAUGAAGAUAGCGACUACAAACCAUAACCCCAACUUAAAGCAGCUAGUUGAGAGCAAGAUCUGUCAUUUUUCACAUUAAAAACAUUUAUUCAUAAUUGUUUCACUUAUUUAUUAAAUGUAAUUUUAUUUUCAUUUGUUAAAGUUAUAUAAUA